GACGAACGCUGGCGGCGUGCUUAACACAUGCAAGUCGAACGGUGAAGCGCCUUCCUUUUUGGUGGGUGUGGAUGAGUGGCGAACGGGUGAGUAACACGUGAGUAACCUGCCCCCUUCUUCUGGAUAACCGCAUGAAAGUGUGGCUAAUACGGGAUAUUCUGGGUCUGUCGCAUGAUGGGUCUGGGAAAGAUAUUGUUUCGGUGGGGGAUGGGCUCGCGGCCUAUCAGCUUGUUGGUGGGGUGAUGGCCUACCAAGGCGGUGACGGGUAGCCGGCCUGAGAGGGUGGACGGUCACACUGGGACUGAGACACGGCCCAGACUCCGACGGGAGGCAGCAGUGGGGAAUAUUGCACAAUGGGCGCAAGCCUGAUGCAGCGACGCCGCGUGAGGGAUGGAGGCCGUCGGGUUGUGAACCUCUUUCGCCAGUGAAGCAGGCCUGCCUCGUUUGUGGGUGGGUUGACGGUAGCUGGAUAAGAAGCGCCGGCUAACUACGUG
rnacentral:rRNA from 1 species